GGGGGCGUGCAAAGGCCGCCGACCACAUUUUCUCUCACUAAAGUUUAUUACUGCACACACAUCUAUCGGGCGUGCAUUCAUACGAGCUCGCAUUCACAUCAAAUUUCCGUGGACGAGGUGUAUGAUUGAUCGGCAGAAUAUGUAACUAAUUGAAAGCGCCUCCUUGACUGUAUAAUAGCUGUUCUUUUGCUUGCGAAUAAGAAAUUCAAGUUCUUAUGUAUGCAUUGGAGUUACAUAUGCCGAGGGAACGAAGGACAAAGGCUUAGGGCUUAACAGUUGGUGUCGUCGCAGCUCACUUGUUUUAUCCAUUAUUGUAUUCUAUUUUUGUUCUGUAAUUGCUUUGCCCCCUUAUUUUGUCGUAAUUUCGUCAUCGUAAUUUAUGUUCAAUGAUCCAAUUUAAAGCAACUAAAUAUUGCUUGUAUGGUAACCAUUGGUUUUAUACCCUGUUAUUGUUGUUGAAUCUGUGUCUCCGAAAUUUUGAUUAUUAGGAGGAGAGAAGGUUAUCAUUUUAAAUUUAAUCUAGUGUCAUUAAGAUAUUUAAUUUAAUUAAUUUAUAUAGCAUAAUAGCAUAUUAAUUUAAAUGGUUUGAUUUCUGCUUUUUAGUGGCGUGACUUGUUUUGAUUGUUGAGUUGAAUGAAAAUUAGAAGGAUUUAAAUUUAAAUUAAAAUUUCUGAUUUUGGUUAUCAUAGUAUUUCACUUUCCUACUCUAUUUGAUAAUAGAUUUUUGGGAUAAAAAUAGGGAUAAACCGCAGGGUAGUUAUUUAGUGCAGUUCUUUGAAGCAUAGGAUAUAUAGUAAAAUGAGUUGAACUAUGGUAGGGUAAAUUGUUCACCUUUAUUUUAAGCAUCUCAUAUUAUGCGUAGGCAAAUCAUUUAUAAGACUUUAUGUAACGAUCUGAUUCACUAGUAAUAACAAUUCGUUGAAUUCAAACUAUCGAGUUAUUGUUGUUUGUAGGUUGAGUCGUUAUAUUCGGUAUUAGAAUAGGUAUAUUAGCUGAAAGUGUGAGACUGGCUUUAUAUUGUCAGAUGAUCUUGAGCUGUGUGUGAUUGCGUGACGAGGAAAAGACAAAUUUAUACCACUUUAUGCCCCACCAGAAAAAAGUUGUGUACAUGUCCAAUCUUUAACUAUUUAAUUUGAGAAAACAAUCAGUACACGUGGCGUCACGAUAGUGCCUUAUUACACGUGGUGUUUAGGGGGUGUUCCCACCUUCUCUCCCCAAACCCUUUUUCCUGAACCGUCCGCCCCUGUCUUUCCUUCGCUCUCUUUCUCUCCCUCGCUCUCUCUCUCCUCCUCUCUCUACCCUCCUGAACCGAACGGCCGACCCUCUCUCCCUCUCUCUCGCGUCGUCUCUCUACCUCCCUCUCUCUUCUCAACCAAUUGCAUCCCUCUUUCUCCUGAACCGAUCGCCUCCCUCUCUCCCUUCCCUCUCUCUCUCGCACUGUCUCUCUACCUCCCUCUCUCUCCUGAACCAAUUGGCCCCCUCUCUCUCCUGAACAGAUCACCUCCCUCUCUCUCCCCCCCCUCUUUCUCUCUCUCUGUCCCCCUCUCUCUCUCUAUCGCGGUGUCCCUACCGAUCUCUCUCAUGCCGGGUUUCUCUCUCUUC
rnacentral:lncRNA from 1 species